CCUACGGGUGGCAGCAGUCGAGAAUCAUUCACAAUGGGGGAAACCCUGAUGGUGCGACGCCGCGUGGGGGAAUGAAGGUCUUCGGAUUGUAAACCCCUUUCAUGUGGGAGCAAAUUAAAAAGAUAGUACCACAAGAGGAAGAGACGUCUAACUCUGUGCCAGCAGCCGCGGUAAUACAGAGGUCUCAAGCGUUGUUCGGAAUCACUGGGCGUAAAGCGUGCGGGGGCUGUUUCGUAAGGCGUGUGUGAAAGGCGCGGGCUCAACCCGCGGACGGCACAUGAUACUGCGAGACUAGAGUAAGGGAGGGGGAACCGGAAUUCUCGGUGUAGCAGUGAAAUGCGUAGAUAUUGAGAGGAACACUCGUGGCGAAGGCGGGUUCCUGGACAUUAACUGACGCUGAGGCACGAAGGCCAGGGGAGCGAAAGGGAUUAGAUACCCGGGUAGUC
rnacentral:rRNA from 1 species